rnacentral:rRNA from 1 species
GAUUUCCCUAGUAACGGCGAGCGAACCGGAAAGAGCCCAGCUUGAGAAUCGCGGCGCCCCGGCGCCGCGAGUUGUGGUCUGGAGAAGGUCCCUCUGCGGCGCGCCGGACCCAAGUUCCCUGGAAAGGGACGUCGGAGAGGGUGACAACCCCGUCGAGUCCGGGCCGCGUCGCUCCACGAGGACCUGUCCGCGAGUCGGGCUGUUUGGGAAUGCAGCCCUAAGUGGGUGGUAAAUUCCAUCCAAGGCUAAAUACUGGCAAGAGACCGAUAGCGAACAAGUACCGCGAGGGAAAGAUGAAAAGGACUUUGAAAAGAGAGUUAAAAAGUGCUUGAAAUUGCUGGGAGGGAAGCGAAUGGAAGCCGCGGGUGCGGCCCGGUUGGAUGCGGAACGGCCGCGAGGCUGGUCCGCCGCUCAACGCGGGGCGCUGGUCAGCGUGGGCCGGCGCGGCGGGACAAGAGCGGGGCGCAGGGCCCCGCCCAUGCCGCCGCGGUGGCCGAGGGAAGGAAGCGCGCGCGGAGUGCGCUCCGCGUGGGGGUGCGCCCCCAACUGCGCGCUCGAGACGCUGGCGCAUUGGGCUCUUCAUCCGACCCGUCUUGAAACACGGACCAAGGAGUCUAACAUGUAUGCGAGCCGGUGGGCGGCAAACCCACGAUCAUAAAAGAGAUGAGGCGCAAGUAACCUGACAGGUGGGACCCCUUCGCCGGGUGCACCAUCGACCGACCGUGAUCUUCUGUGAAAGGUUUGAGUGUGAGCAUACCUGUUGGGACCCGAAAGAUGGUGAACUAUGCCUGAGCAGGGCGAAGCCAGAGGAAACUCUGGUGGAGGCUCGCAGCGAUACUGACGUGCAAAUCGUUCGUCAGACUUGGGUAUAGGGGCGAAAGACUAAUCGAACCAUCUAGUAGCUGGUUCCCUCCGAAGUUUCCCUCAGGAUAGCUGGAGCUCGCGCGGCUGCGAGUUUUAUCGGGUAAAGCGAAUGAUU